GGGUUGGCGAACUGCGCACACACCGGCUUUGUGAUUGAUGUCUGCUAUAAAAGACAGCUAGGACGCCACGGUAGUAGGUUCGUGUGCAUAGUCGUCCGUAUCCGGUUGCGUCGUGCACCCCUGGCUCGGUACCAUUUCAGGGUCCAGGUAACUCAUUGCCACACGAGUGGAACACCCUACAAGGAUAGAAGACGGGUGUAUCACAGGAGGGUUUGGGGUCAUUUUCUGCCUCCUGUCUCUUGCUGAAAAGGAUACUGAGUUUAGCAGCUACCAGCGGUUGGCGUGAAGGCCCCACAGUGGCGACAGCAGACAGGAUUGGGUGUGGUGUGGGGUGGCCCAUCACCGCUUCGUUUGUAUUGGUUUUACCUUUUAUUAAUUAUGCAUAGUGGAACAUAGGUUGCUGUGGCUUUUCUUAAGAUUAAUUUAUUGAUUUGAUUGCAUGUUGUUUUUUAACGAAGCAGCUUGGGCCCGCUCGGUAGUCCCCCUCCACCCUGAUAGC